rnacentral:misc_RNA from 1 species
GGAAAAGUUCUUACCUUAACAGUUCAGUUUUUCCUUAGCACUUCGAAUUAUCCUGGUCACUGGCACCAUAAAAGUCUAUGUGAUCCUUCUGUUGUUAUUCUUUAGACUUUUGAAAUCAUAAGUCAGUUGGAGUUUUAUGAUAUUUAUUAAGCACUGUAAUCGUAUAGUGCCAUAAAAGCAAUAUAUAAUCAAUCUGCUAUCAAUCCAAAAAUCCAUCUACCAAUUAUUAAUCAAAUCAUGAGUAUAAAAAUCAGUAAAAUAAAAUAAUCAAUUGUUAGAACAUCCUUUCGGGUCACAGUUCAUAAGUGACUUAUAACGAAGUCCAUUGUUAAAGGUUAAUUACAAUUAAGAGUCUUGCAUCCGUUGACCGCUUUCCAAAGUCCAAUCAUCAUCGAGAGUUUUAUUCUUCCUGGUCAUUCCGCUAACACCACGAGUUCUAACUACGCAGUUGUCCCUGUCGGUCAAUGACCUUUAACAUUGUUCACUAUACCCUUAUUUCGUAUCGAGCGCACAACAAACUAAUUAACGUACAGCAGAAUACAAUCAUAAAAUUAUAUUUCAUAUAUAUACGGCUAUCUGGUUACAUAGAUUUAAAAUCAUGUUAUAUCAUUUAUCAUUUCCUUGAUAUUAAAAAAAGAUAUGAAUAGACAUGUUUAAUGCAGGAAAAAAAUUAUAUUGCUUUUAUUUUUUCUGCAAUAUAUUUUGAUAGCCGUGAAAUGUUACCAGUGUGUGUCGGGAAAUCAAGAAGAUUGUGCAGAGAUAGUAGAAUGUCCUAACAUGGAAUAUGUAAGUACAAACAGAGAUAACUUUACUGGAACAUUCUAAUGAGGUCAAGUCAGUCCGACGAACCUUGUUUACAUUAAACUUUUGCUGGACAUCUUGAAUUACAUUCAUAGAGAUAAUACUGGAUAAAUUUUUAUGAAUAGGCAUGCAUACACGAACGAUUUCUCACCAGUAAUUUUACUGUUGGUCAUAAACGUGGAUGUGUCCAUCAACAGGUAAAAAUAAAAGAUUAAGCAAACAUUCCUCUUUAUUAUCUUUAAACUGUUACAAACACCAUGAAUGCUUAGAUUUGAAAUGCAACAUCUAAUUUGUGAAUUUUGAAUAUUAUUUUAUUUAACUUAUUUAAGUUAUUUCAAACGAUUUAGAUUUUUAAAUUGAAACAAUGACUUAGGUAUGCAGCCAGUUGUAUGGAGCAGCCUGCCAUUCAGCUGGGGAAUGUAGGGACCAGAGAGGGUUCUGUUGUAAGUCUGAUCUGUGUAACAAUGUAGCGACAUCUCGGAGGACAGGUAGAGGGGUGCACAUUGAUCAGAAAAGGACGGCAAAUAGGAAUAAUACAGGUAUUAAGAUUUGUGGAAUAUGAGUUUUCACUGAAUAAAUGGGAACCAAAUCUAAACAUACAUCAUCAUAAUUAUACCUUAUAUUCUUAUUAUUUUAUGUGUUUAAUUUAACAAUUUUGAUCGUCUUUUUACAAUAAUUAAGUUUUUUGGAAUUGUGUUCUUUGAUCGUAGUGUGUCAUGACAUCGACCAGAGUUCCUGUGAAUUGAUAACGAAUUCAAAGACAAAUGCGUGUUCCUUAUCAUGUUUCAAACAAGCAUGUCCUCGAACUUGUGGAGUUUGUGGUAUUAACUAUCAUCCUUAUAUUCUUACAAUUGACAAAAAAUCGAGAUAUGUACUUAUUAACAAUAUAAAUCAAUUUACUUUUGAAUUUUGUUUUGUCAGAAGAUGUAGAAAUGGACAUCCGAAGACACGAAGGCGGGGGAUUCUUGUUUGGUUAAAACAUUACGGGAAAUAAACGAUGUGU